rnacentral:lncRNA from 1 species
GUCCCGCGGCGCCGGAAACUGGGCGCACACACCCUCGGAUUGACGUGCGCACGCGCACCGGUUACCUUCAGGAGCGCCGAAGAAGGAAAGAAGAACACAGAGCCCGAGGCAAAGCUUAAGUGCUUACGCUUUUGUCGGGAGGUACAGACCCAGCUCUGCGAGAGCCAGGGGAAAAGGAAGAGAGGCAGGGAAGGAAUGGCAGCAAGUACAAGGUGAUGAAUGACUGCACUGGCCAUUGCUUCAUGAAGAGCCACGAAAAAACAGAGCCGGUUUCUCAGCAGGUGGCUGGCUGCUCAGUCACAAAGGACCUCUUUGGACAGGCUUUAUGGAAAUACUGUGCCUAGGACAGUCGCUCAAAGGCAGGAGGGAGAGAAAAUGCAUCUGCAAGCUCACUUUGUCUUCUUUCUUCUGCUGGUCAAAAUUUGCUGGCUGGGGCAGUUAACGCCCUCACACAUCCGAGUUGUGUCACCUGGCCCCUUUGGUAGCCACUGGGGAAGCCAGAUCUAGGCAUGUGGCCUGAUGGCUCCUGCGGUGGAACCACAUGCUCACACUCAGUCAGUCACCACUGGGAUGCCCUGGGCAGGGCAGGCUGAGUGGCUGGGAGAUAGCUGAGCCUAAGAUAUCUAAGCAAGCACCUGUGAUGUAUGCACUGCAGUGUCCAAAUGUGAAAAAGCAAGAAAGGGAGAUAGAAGCAUAUUUUUUUCUGGAGAGAAGGAGGAAACCACCAGGAGAAUACAAACAGAAAAAAGACAUGCUCAUCAUGCCCUGCAAACUCCUAUGAACUGGAACUACAGCAGCUGUUCUGCCAGGGACAGGUUCUUCUCUAAAGUUCCAGCUCUCUGGAGGGAGAAAGCCCUGACUUUGGAUGGAGUUGAGCUCUGUCGCCCAGGCUGGAGUGCAGUGGCACCAUCUCAGCUGACUGUGACCUCCGCCUCCUGGGUUCAAGUGAUUCUCCUGCAUCAGCCUCCCGAGUAGCUGGGACUACAGGUGCACACCACCAUGCCCGGCUAAUUUUUGUAUUUUUAGUAGAGACGGGGUUUUGCCAUGAUGGCCAGGUUUGGUCUCAAACUCCUAACCUCAAGUGAUCCACCCUCCUCAGCCUCCCAAAGUGCUGGGAUUACAGGCGUGAGCCACUGCGCCCCGCCUACUUGAAUUUUUUUUUUUUUUUUUUUUUUUGAGACAGAGUUUUGCUCCUGUUGCCCAGGCUGGAGUGCAACGGCAUGAUCUCGACUCACUGCAACCUCUGCCUCCUGGGUUCAAGUGAUUCUCCUGCCUCAGCCUCCCAAAUAGCUGGGAUUACAGGUGCCCACCACUGUGCCUGGCUGAUUGUAUUUUUAGUAGAGAUGGGGUUUCAUCAUGUUGGUCAGGCUGGUCUUGAACUCCAGACCUCAGGUGAUCGGACUGCCUCGGCCUCCCAAAGUGCUGGGAUUACAGGCAUGACCCACUGUGCCCGGACCUGCUUGAAUUUUUAUGAUGAGCAUGUUGGCAGAUCACGACUGCCAGCUCCGUGACAGCAAGAACCUUGUAUGACUUUUUCAUGAUGGAUGUUCAUCUGUGCCAUCUGUAAAUAUUGAAUAAAUAUUUGUGGAAUACAUGAAUCUAAAAGUGAAUGGAAUGAUAAAGAGGGAAAGGGUCAUGACAUCUACUACAGCAUUUGGCACAGACCCAGCUGUCUGCAGUACUAUCAAGAGAUGACAUGGACUUCAAGGAUCAAACAGGGGAGAAAAAGGCUUAAAAGAAAAACAAGUCUCCAUCAAAGGUAAUAACCACAAUGAGAACUAUACAUAGCUAUGUGCUUAUAGGUCUUAGUUCACAUUCCCCUCAUUAAAAUUAUAGCUCAAGAAAUAAAGGGCUGUUUAAUGACUUGGGUAUAUAAAUAUACUUCAUUUGUAUAUUUUUUACUUGCUAAAAUCUAUCCAAAUUGGUAUUACCUCAAACCAUAAUCUUCUACUGUAUUUUAUAAUUUUACUUUAUUGCCAUGUAUUUUUCCCACUGAUGUUCACAAAUUCACAGGAAACAUCAGCCAUGUACUAAAUAAAAUAUGAAUUGAAUCGACAAAUAGAACUAUAAAUUUAAUUCAAGCACAUGUAAAAUUUAGACCAAAGAAUAAAAAUGUCUAUUAAAAAUACAGCCAAGCAUGGUGGCUCACACCUGUAAUCCCAGCACUUUGGGAGGCCGAGGUGGGUGAAUCAUCUGAGGUCAAGAGUUUGAGACCAGCUGGCCAUUGUGGUGAAACCCCAUCUCUACUAAAAUACAAAAAUUAGCUGGGUGUGAUGGUGGGCACCUGUAAUCCCACUACUUGGGAGGCUGAGGCAGGAGAAUCGCUUGAACCCAGGA